AGCUGGGCAGAGGAUCCUCCUCCAGUCGCCACUGCUGCUGCCUUCUGCUCUCUUGUCACACUGUGGAAAGGGCAGGAGUGAAUCUGUGAAGCAUUUUGCAAAGCACUGAAGGAGCAUGGAGGGAAUGGCUGAGAGUCCCUGCCAGGCAUGGAAUGAGGAGAGAGAGAAACCAGCAAGCAACUUCUGGGCAACUCCACACAGCUCACCUGCAAGUGAUUUUCCAGGGAUCCAUCCUCAGCUGCUGUGAAUCAGCACAGCUCCAUGGUCCUUGCACGCUUGGGUAUUUGUCAGAAGUCUUGCAUCUGGGCAGGUCAGAGCUCAACCCCAUCCCUACUUUGAAGUCUCACCUGCUGGGCAUUCCUGGGUGGCUGGACUCAACCAGAGGACAGGGGUGUGUGGAGAGUUGGACAGACCUCCAAGCAGAGGAGCUCUAGAGUUUCACUCUUGGUUGAAUGAAAUGAGCUGAUUUUGCCAGUUGCCAGGCAGCAAUCACAGCCCUGAUGGAUGACAGAAUAAACCAAGUUCCUUCUGCAGCCAAAUUCCACUGACACCUCCACAGAGUUGGCUUUCACCAUCCCUCAGGGCAUCUGCUAAGGUCCAGGGGAAGGGGAGAGGCUGUAGUUCUCUGUCCCACCCUGGGUUAUUUUUACAGCUGGGAAAGGAGGUGGUUGAACCUGGCUGAGAGGGUCGAAGCAUUUUCCACGGCAGCUCACAAAAGCUGUGAAGCCAGAGGCAGACUUCACAAGGACUCAAAUCCCCAGAUCAGCAGCUCCAAAUGUGUCACUGGCACCGACUCUAGAAGGACCAUGUGCCCCAGAAAGGAAUUUCCCUGCUUCUGCCCAAGCAGGCUUUCUUCUGCACACAAAUGAAACCUCCUUAGCCAAGUGCCUGUCUCCCCCACUCGUGUAGAAAACCAGCCUGGGGGCCACACCCAAAGAGUGGCUGUCAGUGGCUCCAUGGCCAAGGGGAGGCCAGU